rnacentral:rRNA from 1 species
GACGAACGCNGGCGGCGUGCCUAAUACAUGCAAGUAGAACGCACAGUUUAUACCGUAGCUUGCUACACCAUAAACUGUGAGUUGCGAACGGGUGAGUAACGCGUAGGUAACCUGCCUGGUAGCGGGGGAUAACUAUUGGAAACGAUAGCUAAUACCGCAUAAUAUUGAUUAUUGCAUGAUAAUUGAUUGAAAGAUGCUAUUGCAUCACUACCAGAUGGACCUGCGUUGUAUUAGCUAGUAGGUGAGGUAACGGCUCACCUAGGCGACGAUACAUAGCCGACCUGAGAGGGUGAUCGGCCACACUGGGACUGAGACACGGCCCAGACUCCUACGGGAGGCAGCAGUAGGGAAUCUUCGGCAAUGGACGAAAGUCUGACCGAGCAACGCCGCGUGAGUGAAGAAGGUUUUCGGAUCGUAAAGCUCUGUNGUAAGAGAAGAACGGGUGUGAGAG